AUUGAACGCUGGCGGUAUGCUUAACACAUGCAAGUCGAACGAUGAGAAAGAGCUUGCUCUUUCGAUUAGUGGCGGACGGGUGCGUAACGCGUAGGAAUCUACCUAUUAGUGGGGGACAACUUAGGGAAACUUAAGCUAAUACCGCAUACGCCCUACGGGGGAAAGAAGGGGAUCGCAAGACCUUUUGCUAAUAGAUGAGCCUGCGUAGGAUUAGCGAGUUGGUGGGGUAAAAGCUCACCAAGGCGACGAUCCUUAACUGGUUUGAGAGAAUGAUCAGUCACACUGGAACUGAGACACGGUCCAGACUCCUACGGGAGGCAGCAGUGGGGAAUAUUGGACAAUGGGCGAAAGCCUGAUCCAGCAGUGCCGCGUGGGUGAAGAAGGCCUUCGGGUUGUAAAGCCCUUUCGGAUAGAAAGAAAACUCUUACUCUAACAUAGUAAGAGAAUGACGGUACUAUCAUAAGAAGCACCGGCUAACUACGUGCCAGCAGCCGCCGUAACAC
rnacentral:rRNA from 1 species